UCGGUUGGCCCAAAUCCUUUGGGAUAAGGUAUCAUGGAGGGUGAGAAUCCCGUUCGGUUGACCUCAUGACGCUCUACGAUACGCUCUCUAAGAGUCGAGUUGUUUGGGAUUGCAGCUCAAAAUGGGAGGUAAAUUUCUCCUAAGGCUAAAUAUCGGCGAGAGACCGAUAGCGAACAAGUACCGUGAGGGAAAGAUGAAAAGAACUUUGAAAAGAGAGUAAAAUAGUACGUGAAAUUGUUGAAAGGGAAACGAUUGAAGUCAGUCGUACCGACGAGAAAUCAGCUUAUCGUGUGCGAACUUGUGGGCGUGCGUGAGUUUCGGCCUCGCUGUUUGCAUGUUUGUGCGCUUUCGGUGUACUUUUUCGUAUGGUAGGCCAACGUCAGUUUCGAUCACUAUAAAAUGACCGGCGGAAUGUAGCUUCGAUUUCGGUUGAAGUGUUAUAGCCUCCGGUAGAUGUGGUGAUCGGGACUGAGGAUUGCAACGAAUACCCUUUGGGCUAUCCGUCUGGCCUCUGAAAGUUGCUUAGGUGCCGAAAGCUUGCUUACGGUCAUCGAAGUUGACGGUCAAUAGGUUAGAACGCGAUUACAUUCGUUAAGGACGUUGGCGUAAUGGCUUUAAACGACCCGUCUUGAAACACGGACCAAGGAGUCUAACAUAUAUGCGAGUGUUCGGGUGUAUAAACCCUUACGCGUAAUGAAAGUAAUUUAGGUGGGAUCACUCUUUUGUGUGCACCAUCGACC
rnacentral:rRNA from 1 species